rnacentral:misc_RNA from 1 species
GCCGGUGCUGCUGUUGCCUGCGCGUAGGGCCGUCCUCCACUCCCGUCCCGGGGCGCUAAGGGGCUUUUGUUUUUGGAACAGACGGCAGUCUUUUGCUGACGCCUCGAAUCAAGCUUUUAUUGCGACAUGCUAUGUUUUCUCCCCCAUUGCUAGUAGGUUGAUGGGUCGCACGCCCGGCACACAUGUUUUGGCCUUGUGUGUCCAUAACUCAAAAUAGGUGACCUAACGGCCGCCGCCCGACUAAACAUACCAAUAGUCACCAGAUUC